rfam:Myotis brandtii contig193452, whole genome shotgun sequence.
AGGCCCAGAGAGGGAGGCAGGGUCUGAUCCACAGCCACUGUGGCAGCUGUUGAUCAGCCGUUGCCUCUCUCUUUCUCUCCG